UAGGGAAUCUUCCGCAAUGAGCGAAAGCCUGACGGAGCAACGCCGCGUGAGUGAUGAAGGUCUUCGGAUCGUAAAACUCUGUUCUUAGGGAAGAACAAAUGUGUAAGUAACUAUGCACGUCUUGACGGUACCUAAUCAGAAAGCCACGGCUAACUACGUUCCAGCAGCCGCGGUAAUACGUAGGUGGCAAGCGUUAUCCGGAAUUAUUGGGCGUAAAGCGCGCGUAGGCGGUUUUUUAAGUCUGAUGUGAAAGCCCACGGCUCAACCGUGGAGGGUCAUUGGAAACUGGAAAACUUGAGUGCAGAAGAGGAAAGUGGAAUUCCAUGUGUAGCGGUGAAAUGCGCAGAGAUAUGGAGGAACACCAGUGGCGAAGGCGACUUUCUGGUCUGUAACUGACGCUGAUGUGCGAAAGCGUGGGGAUCAAACAGG
rnacentral:rRNA from 1 species